ACUCCCAGACUUUAAGGGACAUUCCCCUUCUCAGCCCCCAAGAGGGAGAAGGGGAGACCCGACUUCCCUGUUGCCUGAAACCAAAUUCCAGCAGCCCUGAGGUAGUACUACCCGUUUGGAAAAAGGCCUAAGUCUCACUUUUCUUCCUCACAUUCUUCCCAAAGGCUUGUUUGGACCAAGGCAGGGGCCACCUCCCCUUAGCAGUACAGGGACACCUCCAAGGAACUGUGACUGCCCCACCCCCAGCCAAGCCCACAGCACUCAGAAUCCUUGGCAGAGAAGGCUCCCCCAGUCUCUGGGCUCCUACUGCUCAAAGGCAGUGCCUGGGGGCAGAGGGUGACCCCAGCUCUCUCCAGCCCCAACCCAUCUCCUUCUGGAAACUCCCAUCAGCCAAGGAAGGAGUGCUGGGGUGCUGGGACCUAGGGGGUUGUUGAGCCUGGGAGGGGGACUACAUCUCCCAGAAGCCCCCAGGGCAGGGUUCGCUGCUCCAGCUGGCCCAAGGCCGGCCUUGUUCUCUAUGCUAGGGUGGCAGGGUCCCCAGGCUGCCCCUAAGCCCUUCUCCCUAUGCUUUGGGGCUGCCAACCUAAUUGGGGGCCUAUGAGUAGCCUCCACUGCCCCUGGGGGCGUCCUCCUCCCCUUGAACAGCCUGGGGGUGCGUGCCAGAAGGCAAGAAACAAUCAGACUGUGUUUCCCCCUCCCCGAUUCAAACUGGAUCUCCCUCCUCACGCUGCUGCUGGCCUGCCAUGACUUUCGCCCUAGCCCCCAGCCCACCCCUCACCUCGCGCAGGUCGGGGGUCCUCACGCCAGGCCGGAGCUGGAAGCCAUGACCAGUACAUCAUGAGGACAUAGACUGAAUUUUCAUCUCAAGUCUCAGCAGGGGUGUAAAGUGGAUGGUAAGAAAAUGUUUGUGGAAGUGAAACCUUUGUCUUUUCAAAAGAAAUUUCUCCUAACCUUAAAAGGCUUUCUUCCCCCCACCUACCUCUCUACCCCUCUCUCUCUCUCUCUCUCUCUCUCUCUCUCUCUCUCUCUCUCUCUCUCUCUCUCUCCACCUAAAGAAUAGUAGAUACAUUGAAAAAGAAAUUAUAAGGCAGUUUUUAAAAACAUCACAUGUUAUUUCAGUGUUCAUCAUGAACUUGCAAGAAAGAUAUUUUGGCCCCAUUACACAGAUGAGGAAACUGAGACUUGCAUUAUAUAAGGAUUUACUCAGGAUUACACAACUAGAUCAUGGUAAGCCCAGGACUAGAAGUUGGAUUUCUUUAUCCCUGGAUACCUUCCCCACCCACCCAGAAUUAAUACCAACAAUUGAUAAGCAUUGAUUAUUUCAGAAGGAAAUGAAACUAACAAGUCUAUUUGCUCCUUUCUGUUCCCAAUUGUCCUCUCUCUCCAGAAAGCUCUAGCUCCAGUGACCUCCCUCUCUUCUGACCACCUAUUAUUUGUGUACCACCCAUCUGAAUGCUUACUUGUAUUUUCCUUGUUUCUCCUGUGUGUAUGUCUGGUUGGUGCCAAAAGAUUCUUAAGGGCUCAGACUAUGCCUUCUAUCCUCUGUGUUCACCCAAGGUUGGCUCAAGUCCUGGCUAGGUUCAUAGUGGAACUUCAGUAAAUCUUGACUUGAUGGAUUGAUGGUGCCAGAAACUAGGUACUGAGCAAGGUCUGGGGAGGUUCAAAUGUGUGUGUAGUAGGGGGAUGAAGAUACCCUGACAAACAGAUGAUAACAUAACCUUUCCUGUGUGCCUAACACAAUCACAGUUUACGAAGCACUUUCAUGAACAUCAUCUCACGAUCAUGCUUUAAUCCAAUCAAAAAACUUUCCCAAGUACCUACUAAGAACUGUGCUAGGUUAGGGGUUGAAACGUCAUAAUUCUGAGUUAAGUCUUAUCUUCAUUUAAAGGCCAUGAAACUGAAGCCCAGAGUGACAAUCCCAGCACCUAGGAUAGUACCUGGCUCUGGGAAUUAGGGUUUAAUUUCUUUUCUUUUCUCCAGGAUCCCCAGGGGAUAGACUGCAUCUCAAAGCAGCGGGCCGGUCCUAAAACAUAAUAGUUUUUAGGAGGGUCCACUCCAUUUACUUGGGUCAGUAUCACGUAUAUGACAAGCCACAUGGGCCUUUUCGGAUCCUUUUGGCACAAGUUCAAUUCAUAGUAGGUCCAGAAAACAAUGUUUGUAGGGAUGAGGGUGGACUUGUUGCAAGGGGUCUCAAAUGUGGUACACAGUCAAGUUCAAGAGUGUUCGGUAUGUUCUGUGGAGCAGCCAUGUGGAGCGGAGCGCUCCCUAGGGUGGGGCUGUGACUCAUUCCCCCAGCGUAGGUUCCAGGUCGAGAUGCCGAGCAGAGCUCUGGGCAGCCACGAGUUCUGGGUGGAACCCUGGAGCGAAAAAAGAGGCGAGCGGCCCAUUGCUGGAAUCGAGCAGCCCCCUCUACUGGAGAACUCGGGGAACCACUGUGUUUCGUAUAUCUGUGUGUCACUGUGUCACGAGGGAUGUCACAGGUGUGUCAGCGAGAGUCGGUGUGGGCAUUUGUGGGUGGACGUGCCGGCAUGGGUAAGAGUGUGUGAGGGUGACUGUUCGUGGCUCACUGUGGCUGUGCCAGCGCCAUUAGGGGCUUUUUCUGGAAACACAGUGUGUACCCACAACCACAUCUUGUGUUAUAAUUUAUUUACUUUGGGGAUGGGGGUAGGGGAGGCCCUAGCGAUGCUUAUUAUCUGAAAUUACGUAUCUUCCUGUUACUGGAAUUACUGGGAAGAACCGAUCUUCCAGCUGACAUUCCUCACCUGAUCGUUCAGUAGCUUGAGAAGGUGGGAGCGGGUCGGCCCAGGGGAGCAUUUCCUGGGAAGCGACUCCACGCGCUGAAGCAACCGUGGACCCAAGAAAGGGUUAACCCGGAGCCCCACAAUGACUUCAAUCAUUGGUUCAGCGUACUGUCAGUCAGCGUUAUGAGGGCGGGGUUUUCGAGGUAGCAGUCGGAUUGCCUGACGCCCCUCAGUUGCCCCUCGACCCCCCACAUCAUUUCACCCCCAUCUCGGUGGAGACACCUUCCUGGGCCCUGGAGGAAAAGCAGAUCCGGGCAUCCUGGCUUCCCUACUCUCUCCAGCUGCCUGGCUUCCUGGCUUCCUGAUAGAUGAGACAGGUCUCACUGAGUUGCUUAUACCUCACUUUUCCUGACACUGGCUUUGAACUUCCAAUCCUCCUGCCUCAGCCUCCCAAGAUGCUGGGAUUACAGGCGCACCUGGCUUCUCUUCUCUUUUUCUACUGUCUUCUAAGAUUUAAGGUACCUGCAUAGGCAGUUCACCCAAUGGGAGACAAUUCUGUCAUUUUGUACAUUGUGAUAUCUAACUUAUUUGCCUUUUCUUCCAGGAACUCCUUUCUGAUGGAGGACUCUGCCUACUUAUUCAUUCAACAAAUACCUAUUGAGAUCUACUAUGUGCCAGGCACUGGACUAGAACUAGACAUAUGUUAGUGACAAAACAGAUAAGGUCCUUACUCUUACACAGCUGACAGCCUAGCUGGGGACAGACAGGUAAAGAAAGGAUUUCAAUUCAGUGUAAUUAGGGGUUAGGGAGCACUUAGGAAAGACCUUACCCAUGUUUUGGGUAACUGCAGUAUGGAUCACUAUCUGAACUGAGACUUCAUACAAGCCUCAGGUGUGGUUCAAUCCAGGCAGACAGUGCAUAUCUCACUGGAGUUCCAAAGAUAGACAGGAUUGCAGCAAGAGGUCUAGACCAGAUGUCAUAAGAGAUCACUAAGGCUUAAUUUCCAUAAAAUCCCUUGCUAAUAAAUUCUCCAAAUCCCCAAAGUAAGAAAAUGGGCCUGAGAGUCCAGAGUAUGUGACAUCGGCCUAGUCAGUCCCACUCUCUGGGCCUUACUUCAUUCUUCUUGUUAUUUUUUAACCUACCUCUCAGGCAAGAUCUUGGUUUUCUUCAAAUAUUAAAAAGAAAGAAAGAUGGGUUGAAUGUAGCUCCAAGAUCUUUAUUCUGAAGACCGCAAUUAGAUAGCAGGCUUGUUGAGAGGGAUAAACACUUAGCUUUGACCAGCAUGGGGAGGGGGCAGAGUUCUUAAACCCAGAAGCAGGUGCUUGCCUAGUGUGUGCAGGGUCCUGGGUUUGAUCCCCAGCACCACAAAAUAAAUAAGCAUAAAGCUAGGAGAAUUUAUCAGAGGCAGGAUCCUCAAAAGAAGUCGAAACCAGUCAACCCUACUCCUUGCCUGCUGCCCACUGGUCUGGCAGUUCUAAGUCCUGGGAACAUAAUUCUUGCCAUUUAAUUCUUGUGUUAAAGGCAAGAGCCUUUCUGAGAUACUUCUGGGAGCAGAGUGCUUUGGGGGGCAGUGCUUACAUUACUUUUAUAUGUAGCACUACAGAACUGAUAUUUUUAAGAGGUGAAAGGCUUCCACACUGGUGAAAGGACUUGCCUGAGAUCACGUGGUGGAUGAGUGAUAGCUGGAAGUCUAAUUCCACAUCCAGACUCUUUCCACGACACCACCAUAGCACUUGUUUCCAACUUUCCAUUGGACUUCUUCCUGUGUCUGGCUCAUUUCCCUGUGAGGCCAUAAGAUCUGGGAAGGCAGGCUUGGCCUCCUUAUCUGGACCCCCCAGAGCCUGGACGGGGUGCUCAGAACUGCUAGUCUCCCAGGUACCCCCUUUUUUCUCCAAGCCUAACCCUAUUGACAUGCAUAUAGACCCCUGGGUCAUUUUUACAAAGCUUCCCUGGAUUAUGGACAAAGCCCUGGGCCAGACAUAGUCAAAGUACCAGUCAGACCUAAAACCUGGUCUGUGACUUGAAGUAAACUGAUUAACACUGAUUAACUUCCCUAGCCUUCAAGUUCUGUUGAGACCCAUAACCUAACUCCUAGGCCUUUUGUAACUUGAAAUCCAAGCUUGGGAAGUGUUUUUAAAAAACAUAGCUCAGAGGGGCUGGGGAUGUGGCUCAAGCGGUAGCACGCUCGCCUGGCAUGUGUGCGGCCCGGGUUCGAUCCUUAGCACCACAUAAAAACAAACAUGUUGUGUCCGCCAAAAACUAAAAAAUAAAUAUUAAAAAAAUUAUCUCUCUCUCUAAUAUAUAUAUAUAUAUAUAUAUAUAUAUAUAUAUAUAUAUAUAUGAGAGAAAGAGCGCUCAGAGGUCUUUUUUCAGGAUCCCACAGCCUCAGGACCAUGUGUGUGCUAUCUGCAGAGACUGGGGUGCUACGAAACUAGGGCACUUACACCAUGGUACUAUGCUUAGUCCUAUGAAAGUUACAGGAUGUGUGAGCUGAAUCUAUUCUGGACCCCUACAACCCAAACACUGAUCAUAAUUGUAAAACUGAAUUCUAGGUUUUAUUUGUAUCUUUGGAAGGCUGUCCAGUUCAUAACCUACAACCACUUGUGUUCAAAUUCCCUUUCUUUUGCUGCUUUGCUACACCUUGCAACAGUCACGGUCACUCUGAAAACUCCAAAUCAGCCCCUCGGUCCUUGGUAGUCAACAGAGCUUUUGUCUUCCUCUGUCCACUGUCAUCUCCCACUUGCACACUGCAUGGAUUGGUGGAGACACUCCACUUUCAUUAUUUUCUUCUUUUCUUCCCCCUCUCACCUACUGUCCUGUCUCCUAGUUCUGUAUUACAAAAGCCAUGGGAGGAGCAGGCCAAGACAAGAUUUCCAGCGACAGGUGAGGGAUAAAAUUAUCUUGGGGGUGAGAGGAGGCGGGGCAGAGGAAGGCUGGGGGCAGUCAAUUUUUAGUUGUUUUUGGUUUUGGUUUGUUUUGUAGUACUGGGGAUCAAACCAGGGUCUCACACCUGCUAGGCAUGUGCUCUACCACUGAGCUACAUCCCCAAACCUUUUUAUUUUAUUUCAUUCAGUGUCUUACUAAGUAGCUCAGGCUAACUUUGAACUUGUGAUGAUCUUGCCUCAACCUCUCAAAUAGUUGGAAUUACAGAUUUGCACUACUGUAUCCAACUAAUGAUUAGGAAGUUUUAUCCUGUCACAGAUAACAUAGGUAUCUACCCUCUAGGGGCAAAUGAGAUGGGGAUAAUGAAAGAACAAUAAAGAAUGCUAAAUAAUGAAAAGGUGUGGAGGUUAUGCAGUCAGUUCAGGUUGCAAGCUCGGGGAGAUGGAGAAUGAGGAAACUGACCUGAGUCUGGAAGGAGAGGCCAGGUGGGUACCAGGGAGCAGAGAGGGCCGGGUAAGGGGCACAAGAAGAGCACAAGCAGGAGCAAUCCUGUUCUUGGACCUCAAAAACCAACUACCUAGGAGCUGGGGUUGUGGCUCAGUGGUAGAGCGCUUGCCUAGCAUGUGUGAGGCCCUGGUUUCGAUCCUCAGCACUACAUAAAAAUAAAUAAAAUAAAGGUAUUGUGUCCAACUA